UUGACCUCAAAUCGGGUGGGACUACCCGCUGAACUUAAACAUAUCAAUAAGGCGGAGGAA
rnacentral:rRNA from 1 species